rnacentral:rRNA from 1 species
GAUGAACGCUGGCGGCGUGCCUAACACAUGCAAGUCGAACGAAGCACCUUACCUGAUUCUUCGGAUGAAAGUUUGGUGACUGAGUGGCGGACGGGUGAGUAACGCGUGGGUAACCUGCCCUGUACAGGGGGAUAACAGCUGGAAACGGCUGCUAAUACCGCAUAAGCGCACGAGGAGACAUCUCCUUGUGUGAAAAACUCCGGUGGUACAGGAUGGGCCCGCGUCUGAUUAGCUGGUUGGCAGGGUAACGGCCUACCAAGGCAACGAUCAGUAGCCGGUCUGAGAGGAUGAACGGCCACAUUGGAGCUGAGACACAGUCCAAACUCCUACGGGAGGCAGCAGUGGGGAAUAUUGCACAAUGGGGGAAACCCUGAUGCAGCAACGCCGCGUGAGUGAAGAAGUAUUUCGGUAUGUAAAGCUCUAUCAGCAGGGAAGAUAAUGACGGUACCUGACUAAGAAGCUCCGGCUAAAUACGUG